rnacentral:rRNA from 1 species
AACGAACGCUGGCGGCGCGCCUAAUACAUGCAAGUCGAGCGAGAAGACGUAGCAAUACGUUUGUAAAGCGGCGAACGGGUGAGGAAUACAUGGGUAACCUACCCUCGAGUGGGGAAUAACUAGCCGAAAGGUUAGCUAAUACCGCGUACGCUCCUUGGACUUCGGUUCAGGGAGGAAAGCGAUACCGUGGGUAUCGCGCUCUUGGAUGGGCUCAUGUCCUAUCAGCUUGUUGGGAGGUAACGGCUCACCAAGGCUUCGACGGGUAGCCGGUCUGAGAGGACGAUCAGCCACACUGGCACUGCGACACGGGCCAGACUCCUACGGAGGCAGCAGUAAGGAAUAUUGCGCAAUGGGCGAAAGCCUGACGCAGCGACGCCGCGUGGGGGAUGAAGGUCUUCGGAUUGUAAACCCCUUUCGGGAGGGAAGAUGGAACGAGCAAUCGUUCGGACGGUACCUCCAGAAGCAGCCACGGCUAACUUCGUGCCAGCCGCCG